UACAGAGGGUGCGAGCGUUAAUCGGAAUUACUGGGCGUAAAGCGCGUGUAGGCGGCUUUGCAAGUCGGGUGUGAAAGCCCUCAGCUUAACUGAGGAAGUGCGCCCGAAACUGCAGAGCUUGAAUACCGGAGAGGAUGGCGGAAUUCCCCAAGUAGAGGUGAAAUUCGUAGAUAUGGGGAGGAACACCGGUGGCGAAGGCGGCCAUCUGGACGGCUAUUGACGCUGAGACGCGAAAGCGUGGGGAGCAAACAGG
rnacentral:rRNA from 1 species